GUUCGUUCCAUUUCACUUCUGCUGCCAAUGAUCUAAACUCUAGAGCAUAUUCUACAAGGGUCCUAUCUUGUUGUUUAAGGCGUAACAGGGAUCUGGCCGCAUUAAUCUUCCUCCCUGGGGGGUCAAAGGUUCUUCUAAAAGCCGUGACAAACGCAGUGUAGUUGUAGACUAAAGGAUUGUCAUUCUCCCAAAGGGGAUUGGCCCAUCUAAGUGCUUUAUCUAUUAGCAGGGUUAUAAUAAAGCCUACCUUAGCUCUGUCAGUGGGGUAAGCCCGGGGUUGUAGUUCGAAAUGUAUACUUAUCUGGUUUAAAAAACCACGACAAGCAUCAGGCGAACCCCCA